AUUGAACGCUGGCGGCAUGCCUUACACAUGCAAGUCGAACGGCAGCGGGGACUUCGGUCCGCCGGCGAGUGGCGAACGGGUGAGUAAUGUAUUGGAACGUACCUUUCAGUGGGGGAUAACGUAGCGAAAGUUACGCUAAUUCCGCAUAUUCUGUGAGCAGGAAAGCAGGGGAUCGCAAGACCCUGCGCUGAUUGAGCGGCCGAUAUCAGAUUAGCUAGUUGGUGGGGUAAAGGCCUACCAAGGCUACGAUCUGUAGCGGGUUUGAGAGGAUGAUCCGCCCCCCUGGGACUGAGACCCGGCCCCGACUCCUACGGGAGGCAGCAGUGGGGAAUUUUGGACAAUGGGGGCAACCCUGAUCCAGCCCUGCCGCGUGAGUGAAGAAGGCCUUCGGGUUGUAAAGCUCUUUCGGCCGGGAAGAAAUCGCAUCAGCUAAUACCUGGUGUGGAUGACGGUACCGGAAUAAGAAGCCCCGGCUAACUACGUG
rnacentral:rRNA from 1 species